GGCAUGAAGGCAAGCUGUAAGAGCACAGCUCCCAGGGAAAUUGUGGUACUGCUUGGUCUGGAAUGCAGAUCUUAGGUUCUCACUGUGGUUCUUGCUAGUUCUGUGGAGGUCUGUCUGCACAUCUGGAGCCAAGGGAAGCGUUUGACAGGGGAGGCUCUAAUUUUUGUUGCUGCAUUGAUGAUCAUCUUUGGAAAAACGUUUUUCUGAAGGAAUUCUAUCCCCAAACUACAGCCCAGUAGUGAGUUCUGGGAUACAGAAGUCCCUGAGAGUACAAUACAUGGCUUAUGUUCCUUCUCUGAAUUCUGGGUACUUGAACUUAUUCCUGUUUAGAAUCUUGUCCCUGGCAAUUAUAUCACUGGCUUCUGCCCUGUUAUGAUGGAAGAGGUUUUUUCUCUUGUGUUUAUAAGUGACCACAGGAUUCAUGUCGGAUGGCAUCGGGGAAAAUAUUACACUGAGAGAGACCUCUGAAAGUGUCUAGUCAUGGGACCAUUCUGCAAAUAAUUAUAGUAAGCACAGAAGCCUGAAAAGGAUGUGUGGAAACACCUCAUGAUAACAGUAAAUGUUAAAAAGCAAAAUUAAAUAACCCCUGUAUGUAUGCAUACACAUCUGCAUGUAUAAUCAUCUUAAUUCCUCCUCUCCAAAGUGAGUAAUUUUGAUGAUCAAACAGGUUUUCCCUUACCCACAUCUUUGCUGCUUGAACAGC